rnacentral:rRNA from 1 species
UACGUAGGGGGCAAGCGUUGCCCGGAUUUAUUGGGCGUAAAGAGCGUGUAGGCGGUUUGGUAGGUCCGUUGUGAAAACUCGAGGCUCAACCUCGAGACGCCGAUGGAAACCAUCAGACUAGAGUCCGGAAGAGGAGAGUGGAAUUCCUGGUGUAGCGGUGAAAUGCGCAGAUAUCAGGAAGAACACCCGUGGCUAAGGCGGCUCUCUAGUACGGUACUGACGCUGAGACGCGAAAGCGUGGGGAGCGAACAGG